GGCGGAGCGAGCUGGGCGGCGCGCGGCGCGCUGGGACUGUGAGGACACCUCGGCGGAGCCGCUGGAGCCGGCUUGGCUUGAGUGACAACUUCUAUCUGAAUGAUAUAUACAUCUGAGAACUGCUGCUGACUUCUUGAAGAUCCCCUGGAGGAGGAAAUAGCAACCCACUCCAGUAUUCUUGCCUGGAAAAUCCCGUGAACAGAGGAGCCUGGCGGGCUACAGUCCAUAGGGUUGUGAAGAGUCAGACAUGACUGAGCACUUUCACACACAGCACAGCUGGCUGACUUCUUAAAUCUCUUCUCACUCUUAGAUAAGGAGGAAGAAGCUAUUUGGCAGUCAAAGAUGGACAUUUCUCCUAAAGAGGAUAUUGGAAAAGGAAGAACUCCUCAGAAGGUGGAGCUGUGUUCCCUCCCUGCAAUUUACCUGGGGCCAAACUAUGGUGGAGGUAAUGAACAUAAUGGUGACCUCCUUCAAAAGAUCCCAUGCAUGUACUGCUACACUCAGUGCCCCCAACUCUGCAGCAGGCCACCACCAACCCGCGCCUCUGCUGGAGACUCCUGGACACUCACGGGCAAAUCUGGUCCGGCGAAGCGCAGCCGCAGCUCCUGACCUUGGACGUGGGGUAUCUCCUCUCCGCAGCUCACCGCUCCAGCAAGUGGGCAUUUAGGUUGCUUCUAUGUCUUGGCUGUUGUAAAUAUUGCUGCAACAAACAUUGGGGUACAUGUAUCCUUUUGAAUUAUGGUUUUCUCCAGAUAUAUGCCCAGGAGUGAGAUUGUUAGAUCAUAUGGCAUCUCUGUUUUUAGUUUUUAAAGGAAGCUCCAUAUUGUUUUCUAUAGUGACUGCAACAAUUUACAUUCCCAACAAUAAUGUAAGUGGAUUCUCUUUUCUCCACACCAUCCAGCAUUUGUUAUUUGAAGACUUUUAAUUUUUUAUUUUAUUUAUUUAUUUUUGGCUGUGCUGGGUUUUCAUUGCUUUUGCAUGGGCUUUCUCUAGUUGCCACAAGUGGGGGCUGCUCUCAGGUUGCAGUGCUCAGGCUUCUCACUGGGGUGGCUUCUCUUGUGGAGCACAGGACCUAGGCUCUAGGCAAGCGUGCUUCAGCAGUUGCAGCAUGCAGAAGGAGUGGUUGUGGUGUGUGGCUCUAGGGCACAUGGACUUCAGUAGAUGUGGCACACAGGCCCCAGAGCGCAGGCCUAGUAGUUGUGGUACAUGAGCUUAGCUUCUCUGCAGCACGUGAAAUCUUCCUGGACUAGGGAUCGAACCUGUGUCCUCUGCAUUGGCAGGCAGAUUCCCAUCCACUGCACCACCAGAGAAGUCCUAUUUGAAAACUUUCAAAUGAUGGGCAUUCUUAUCAGCAUGAGAUGGAGCAAACCCAUCUUUGAUCAACUGAGAUGGCAUAUAAAAGAAAUGACUGUCUACUCCAGGAACUUAUAAUUUAACAAUCACCUUUAUCUCCCAUCUCCAAGGACUGCUGAUAGUGGAUCAAAUCAAACCAUCACUUUGGAGAUAAGACUUUGCUGAGACGGAAGGAAGAAAAGUUCAUGAGGAGCUGCUUUGGAAGCUAUGCAAAGAGUAAGAGAUGCAAGGGAUGGAUUAUGGUGACCCUGACUUAUUUCCCCAGCUUCUGAGAAUGCUGCUGGAAGAUGAUCCUCAGCUGUCAACCUUCUGUAGGAAUUUCCUCAGAAGAAAACUGCCUUGCCCAAGGUCAUGACUCCUUUCCAGGAUAGCUGGUAUCCUGUGAUCCAUCAGAGUGGGAAUAUAAAGGUCUGACCCCAUGUUCCAACUCAGGACAGUUGUGAAGGGCUGUCCCACCUGCACAGCUACAUGUGGGGUCAGCUGAGGCUUCACUGGGACUGCAUUACGGCUCAGCUUCUACCUCUGCCCGAUCCUACUUCAUUCUCUUCUCUUCCAUGAGUAUUGAUCCUGAAUGCACUCCUCAGUAAGCUUCACACACACUAAUCUCCUCAAGCUCUGCUUCUGAGGAAAUCCAACUGGAGACAAUAGAAUAUUGUCUCCAGUACCUGAACUCACUACAUGCUUGUAACCAGGCAUAUAACUAAUUACAGUUCCUCAACAUGCCAAAAGGAUCUGUACAUGUUCUCCCUGCCUCAGGUACCCAGGCCAUUUUGGUCAGGCCAACUCACAUUCAUGCUCCAAGACUAAGCUCCAGACAGUUUUACCACCUCCUUGAAGCCUCCUCUAACCCCACUGCCAUUCCCAACAUGUGCUCUUCCAGAAGCCUGUGCCUCCUUUGAGCACAUAUUUCACUGUACCAAUCUGGAAUUAUAGAUUUACUUGUCUGUACAAGACUGAGACUUCCUUAAACUCAACAUUUGUCUGGUCUUUCAUUUUUGUAUUCUAAUGCUAAUACAGGGCAUCUGAUAAUGAUGGGCAUUCAAUAAAUGUUUUUUAAAUGACUGAAUGGAAUAGAGACUUUUCUCUAUGUCACAGGCAAAUGUUUAUGUAAUAUAGAUUUGAAAAUAUAGAUUUUGGAGCCAGCCUGUCU
ensembl:lncRNA